ensembl:miRNA Mir5618 microRNA 5618
UACCCUUUACACGGUGUAGUGAUCUGAAACACACUAUACCAUAUAAAGGGU